CAUUGUUUUAGGCUGCUUCAUAGUCCAAAGUGAAUUUGCUGAUUUGUUUAAGAGUGCCUGGUGGCCAAACUGGUUUCUCCCAAUACUCUCAGAGGCAUAAUAAAAAACAAUUGUCCUUUAUCUACACCUGUAGACUGUCAGUCAGACAUCCUUUAAUUUGCCUCAGGGUGUGUCGCCUGCAGUGGUGUGUUAGACAGCAACCAUUGUGACAAGUUCUGUCAACAGUAAAAUAGGUGGGGUGUGUCUGAUGACAUGCCUGCAGGUAACCUUCAGGCUGUUCAGUGAGUCCAGCAGCACAUGUUUGGUAUGUGAAAAGGAUAUGCUUAACUUUUAACAGUGAAAACAUUCCAAGAAGAAACUAGCUGAACAAGCUUAUUAACAAUACAGGAAUACCUACAAACAAAGUUAUGACACUCUUGAUGUGAGUUUAAGCCACUGACGAUUCAGUCACCUUAAGGGAGCCACACAACCCAUGCCAGAUCUCUACAAAGACAGAACUUGGAUGAAAUGACGGAGCAAUUUUUUAAGAGACGCUAUUCAAGGAAAAAACCCAGCAGAGGAGCAAAGCUAAUGCUGAGGUGUGCACAUCAAAGCUCUGACGAAGCCAAACCCCCCCCAGUCGACCAGAAUACUCCAGCUCCGACGUCAUCACAUUACAGACAGCAUUUACAGGGUUAACUACAACAUCUCCAUACCACAGGAAACCGAGACGUGUGAGGAAAAAAAGAGGGGGGAGUGAGGAAGAGAGAGGAGUGUGCGCCACAAAAACACACAGGACAAGAGAGAGCAGAGACGACAGAUGAGGACAGCCGGCAAGAAACUAUUUGCACAGAAAAACCUCCGAUCUGACUUCCUCUUAAGGCAGCACCGUCACCUCUCCUGAAUCCCCAGUUGAAAGAGAAACCGUUUGGAUGAGAGGCGAGAGGGAAGAAAGGAGGAGAAUCCAAGUGGGUGUGCGCACACAGGAUGAAAACAGAAACCAAAGGGAUGAGAGAGUGACGAGAAGAGAAGGUCGGGUGUAUCCAGAGGAGGAAGGGCGCUGACAGAUAAAAAGGAAAUUCAUCUGAUAGUCGGCAGAGAUGACACACAGUCCACUAUCAACAGGCCUGAGGGGAAAACCACCAUCCACACAAAACACAACACAUAACAGGGACAUCUGUACCAUGUCUACAACUUUAACUUUUAAAAGUAAGACAUCGAUAGUAUUUAACAUGUCACUUUAACGAAAGUGACAUGUAACGAGGGUAGAAAAUGAACAGCACUCUUUGUAUGUUAAACUGCUGAAGGUGCCCAACAUAAUAUACUGUCAAAGUUACUAUUCGUUUCCAAAGUUUGGGAGCUGUGUCAGAGAGUUCUGGUAUUUCUUUUGGAAAGACUAAACCUAAAAGGUCAACCACUGUGAGAAUCCAUAAUCUCUGGUCUCCUUGCUUUUCCCUUAACAGUCAUAGCCCACAUCCCCAACCAGCCAACUCUGCAAACCUAAAUGGAAAAGCCAUCAAGUUAUUUCUUUCCCUUAAGAGAGGACAAUUGUGCCUGUGUUUAAUUCUCUGUUACUCAACCUCCUCAGAGACUGAUCCACACUGGAAAGCAAUAUGUUGUCCAGGAUAACCACGGUUGCCAGGAGGGCUAAAAAUACAAGUAGGAGGUUUGGAAAAUAUUUGCAGGGGAAGGUGAUUUUUCCCAUUUGCCUUUAAAUAAGGUGGUAGAAGUGUGCCCUCCUCUGACAGCUGCACUUUUUCAAUGUCAUCCUGUAAUAAAUAUCAGAAUAAAGCACAUGCUACAGUGCCAUUUGCAGAUCACAUUAAGAGGCCCACACUGUGCAUAGCACCUAGACCAGGGGAAAGUGAUGAGAUAACUGAGAAGCUCCCAGUUUUCCAAAUACGGGAGAACAUCUGGCAUCACUGUUUUGCAUCAAGGUCGUUCUAAUAAUUCAUCCCUGCAACCAUUUUAUAAUCCCCUUAAUGAAAAUCACAUUUGGCCUGUUUAUUUGUCACCCUGUUUGUCAAAAAAAAAAAUUAUGUGAAAGAGAUUCCUGCUCUACUGGGAGCAAUGUUUCAUAACAGAUCGGUGGGAGUAGCCGCAUGCAGAAGAGGCAAUAAGCUUAGUAAGGAUUCCAGCAGGUCUGGGCUAAACAGUAUUAGCCAAUAAUUCUUACAGUUUAAUAGGUGCUUUGUACAGUAUAUAUGGCACAUAAAACUUAAAUACAAUAGAAUGUAUUUUAGUGACACUGAACUCUGCCGAUGGAGAUAACCCCACCCUUCUGGGGCAUGGCAAUGUUAAAACAAUCACUGCAAGUUAUUAUGCGCCAGACAAGGCUCCACUGCAGAUCAUACCAGGCAAAUGAUGUGCUGCCAUUUCCCUGGUAUUUUGAUAGCCUGCCACAGUAAUAUUAGAAAUGAUAUACUGAAGCGGUAAGUGAAGAUAUCUGGAAGAAUGAAUCACAAAUCAUAAAUAUGGCUAAACUGCUGCUUUGCUAGCAUGGGUAAAGUCUUGAUAUAUGGCACGGCAGAUAAAAAUCACUUACGGUAGAAGAAAACAGAUCUCUCACAGUGCAAGAAUUCAGUGGUAGUUUGAUUCCUUGAGGCCUGUGUUGAGUUGGUUCAUUGGAUGCAGAGGCUUUAUCUCCAUGUGCUCUCCAUUACCUGUGGCUCUAAAUCAAACCAAAUAGCGGCAACAACAGACUUUUGUUUGGUUACUACCACCAAAUCGCAGAUGGAGAGACAUGAAACAGUCUGUACCUGCGUCAAACCUCUUUCAGCUGUCAACUGACAGCUGUUCUUGUAACACACAGCACACAAAGCAUUGGCUAUAACACAAUGGCAAAUGUAUAAAGAAACGCAACUGAGUCACAAAUUGAUUAUCAGCCAAAUGGGAAUUAAUAUACUGUGUAGAAAAUUCAUGUAGAAAAUCACCAAAACAUACUGGUUUCUGAGCAGCUACUCCAUGUGAAUAUGUGUAACCUUGAAGCAAACCUAGCAUGCUCAACCUUUGCCUGGAUAUAAAUAAAGAAGCUGGUGUAUUGUGUUCCUCUUUAAAUUGUGAUGAAAGCUCACUGCCAUUGUGGAAAUGAAAGAGGACAAGAGAAUGGAGAUAACGCAAGGUGACAGUGGCUGCUUCAAAACAAACUCAUUCAACUCUUCUGGCAGAUGAAAUGCUCUCCGCAUUCCAGUACAGACUUUAUAGCAAGUAAUUUAAGCUAUAUGGUUGUCUUCCAAGUGGUUAAAUGUAAUUCUGCAUUUUGACAAUUGGAAACGGAGCAGUGGGAGCUGGAAGAAGUAUUGCUUAAACAAUAUACACAAAUAUCUGGUGAUAAAUUCUGACUAUUCUGCAACCAACACACUUUAACAUGCACCCAAUAUGUUGCUCAAUAAACACAAGCAAGUACAGAAACACUCAAUGCCAUUCUGCUUAGUAAACUGAAAUAAAAGCCAAUUCCCCUAGAUAUGUAAGUAUCAAAUGGUGUCACUUAAUCUGUCUUCUUCUGUGUUCCAUCUGUUCUCUCUGUUCUGGAGGUGGUUCUUACAUCUGUCGAAGUACAUGUUGAAGUGCCUUAUAAAAAAAUCGUCCUUAAUUCUGAAAAACAAAAGCAGUAGUCUAAAG